rnacentral:tRNA from 1 species
GACCAUAUAUUUAAAAAAUAAAGAUUGCUUUGCAAGCAAAAAUUGACUAUGUCUA